rnacentral:rRNA from 1 species
GAUGAACGCUAGCGAUAGGCUUAACACAUGCAAGUCGAGGGGCAGCAUGGUCUUAGCUUGCUAAGACUGAUGGCGACCGGCGCACGGGUGCGUAACGCGUAUGCAACUUGCCUCACAGAGGGGGAUAACCCGUCGAAAGACGGACUAAUACCGCGUACACUUGGGAUAGGGCAUCCUGACCCAAGGAAAUGAAAUUCGCUGUGAGAUAGGCAUGCGUCCCAUUAGCUAGUUGGUGAGGUAACGGCUCACCAAGGCGACGAUGGGUAGGGGAACUGAGAGGUUGAACCCCCACACUGGUACUGAGACACGGACCAGACUCCUACGGGAGGCAGCAGUGAGGAAUAUUGGUCAAUGGGCGAGAGCCUGAACCAGCCAAGUCGCGUGAAGGAUGACUGUCUUAUGGAUUGUAAACUUCUUUUAUACGGGAAUAACAAGAGUCACGUGUGGCUCCCUGCAUGUACCGUAUGAGUAAGCAUCGGCUAACUCCGUG